UACGUAGGGUGCAAGCGUUAAUCGGAAUUACUGGGCGUAAAGCGUGCGCAGGCGGUUAUGUAAGACAGAUGUGAAAUGCCCGGGCUUAACCUGGGAACUGCAUUUGUGACUGCAUGGCUAGAAUCUGGCAGAGGGGGGUAGAAUUCCACGUGUAGCAGUGAAAUGCGUAGAUAUGUGGAGGAACACCCAUGGCGAAGGCAGCUCGCUGGCCUGUAACUGACGCUGGAGACGCGAAAGCCGUGGGGAGCAAACAGG
rnacentral:rRNA from 1 species